GGAUUAUUGGGCGUAAGCGCGCGCAGGUGGUUUCUUAAGUCUGAUGUGAAAGCCCACGGCUCAACCGUGGAGGGUCAUUGGAAACUGGGAGACUUGAUGAGAAGAGGAAAGUGGAAUUCCAUGUGUAGCGGUGAAUGCGUAGAGAUAUGGAGGAACACCAGUGGCGAAGGCGACUUUCUGGUCUGUAUCUGACACUGAGGCGGGAAAACGCGGGGA
rnacentral:rRNA from 1 species